rnacentral:tmRNA from 1 species
UUCGACGGGGACCGGCGCUCCCCGAGGAGCAGGCCGGGUGGCACCCGUAACAGCCGCGCGAAACAGCUCCCGAAGCUGAACUCGCUCUCGCCGCCUAAUUAAAGGCGGCGCGUCCCCCGCGGGGUUGCGGGCGCCUCGCGGGAGGGCGUCAGAGGAGCCCGCUCGGGCAGCGCUCCCGCCCGCCGGAGCGCUGCCGACACGCUCGGCGGGCUACCUCCGGGGAGCUUGCCCGUGGGCGACCCGGAGGGAAAACCGCUACACGGGCUAAGCCUGUAGAGCCUCGGACGGGGCGCCGUCCUCGGACGCGGGUUCGAUUCCCGCCGCCUCCACCA